AGCUCCAAUAGCGUAUAUUAAAGUUGUUGCAGUUAAAAGCUCGUAGUUGGACUUCUGGUGGGAGCAAUCGGUCCGACGCUCUGCGUGGGUACUUGUAUUGUCUCCCGCCAUCCUUGGGAGAGCCUGUCUGGCAUUAGGUUGUCGGGCAGGGGAUCCCCAUCGUUUACUGUGAAAAAUUAGAGUGUUCAAAGCAGGCUUACGCCGUUGAAUAUAUUAGCAUGGAAUAAUAAGAUAGGACCUCGGGACUAUUUUGUUGGUUUGCGCCCCGUGGUAAUGAUUAAUAGGGACAGUUGGGGGUAUUCGUAUUGUGCUGUCAGAGGUGAAAUUCUUGGAUUAGCGCAAGACGAACUACUGCGAAAGCAUUUACCAAGGAUGUUUUCA
rnacentral:rRNA from 1 species